rnacentral:rRNA from 1 species
UGCGUAGGCGGAAAAUUAAGUCAGUGGUGAAAUCCUGCAGCUCAACUGUAGAACUGUCAUUGAUACUGAUUUUCUUGAAUACAGUUGAGGUAGGCGGAAUAUGUAAUGUAGCGGUGAAAUGCUUAGAUAUUACAUAGAACACCGAUUGCGAAGGCAGCUUACUAAACUGUGAUUGACGCUGAGGCACGAAAGCGUGGGGAGCGAACAGGAUUAGAUACCCCUGGUAGUCC